CUAACCACCACAUCCACGGCAGCGAUCCCUUAAGUGGUGGUGAUAUUAUUAUUUUAUUAUUGCCAGCCAGUGGCUUUAAAGGUGCAUUAUUUUAAUGCAUUAUUAAUUGUUUUCCCAGGGAGAGAAGGAAACUGGGGAUAGGGCUUAUUAUUAUUAAUAGCGAGGAGAUCACUCGCUCCUUUCGCGCACGACGAGGAGAGCGGUGGGAGGAGGCAGCGCCGGAGGGAGGCGGCAGCGGAGCGCACCCCGCUCUCAGGCUCGUUGCGCGGCCGCGGGAACCACCCGCGGGGGCCCGGCGCAGCCCUCGCCUCUCCCUCCCUGUGCCCCCACCCUCGCCCUGUUGCCCUAGCCUUCGGGCGGAAAGUUCCGCGGGCAGCGGCCAACCUCGUGCCUGCCCAAAGCAGCCCCUCGGCAUCCCCCCCAGCUCCAGCCCCAGCCCCAGUCAUAGCUCCGCGCGGGCGGCGUGUCUCCGCGGGCGCCGAAGUUGCGGCAGGGCCGGGGGGCCUCUGCGACUGCCAGCCAUCAAGUGGCUCGUUAAGGAAAUGCAGCUCCUUCGGGGCCUGUGUGGACUAGGGGCACAACCCGGCGCCUGACUGGCAGGAGGGAAAGCGGAGACUCCUUCAGGUUUCCAAAGAGGUCCGAGUGGACUGCAUUAGGAAAACUUGAAGAGUCUUUCACUUUUCAUCCUCCAGUCACUGACUGUGCUAUAAGGAUACUGUGGUGAGGUG
ensembl:lncRNA